rnacentral:piRNA from 1 species
UGGAUCUUUUCGAGGUUCCUUUAGAAGCCCCA